UGUUACUUCGCCAUUUUGAGCGAAGCAGGGUAGAUGCAGUCGGGUACAAGUAGAGAGGGAAUAAACUUACUCCUGCAUUGAAAACACACUGAAGUGUGGUAAUUGCGGAAGGUGACUGGGGGGAAAGAGCAAGAGGUUUUACCAGAAUUCAGACUUCAGACCACUGGGUGUAGAGUCUGAGAGCCUGAAAACAGUUUAGGGAAGAUUAUAAGAGCAGAAGGACUUCAGGGGAGACUUCACAUCACCCUGGGUUGUGCUCGUAUCAAAUUCAUGUCCUUCAGACCCUCUGCUGAUCCUCAGGAGGGAAACAGCUUCUGAAAUGAGUCUCUCUGAGGAGCCUGAGGCUGAAGAUGGAGCACUGGGCCAUGAAAUUGAGAGGUAAGAGGGUGUUCUUGUGUUUGGGGACCUGAUUGACUCUGACACUGAAU
rnacentral:lncRNA from 1 species